rnacentral:rRNA from 1 species
CCUACGGGAGGCAGCAGUAGGGAAUUUUCGGCAAUGGGGGGAACCCUGACCGAGCAACGCCGCGUGAACGAAGAAGUUAUUCGUAAUGUAAAGUUCUUUUAACAGGGAAGAAAGAGAAAUUUGACGGUACCUGAAGAAUAAGCUCCGGCUAACUACGUGCCAGCAGCCGCGGUAAUACGUAGGGAGCGAGCGUUAUCCGGAAUUAUUGGGCGAAAAGGGUGCGUAGAUGGCAUAGUAAGUCUUUUGUAAAAAUGCUGGGCACAACCCAGUAGGGCAAAAGAUACUGCAAAGCUAGACUAUGACAGAGGCAAGUGGAACUACAUGUGUAGCGGUAAAAUGCGUAAAUAUAUGUAAGAACACCAGUGGCGAAGGCGGGUUGCUGGGUCGAUACUGACAUUGAGGCACGAAAGCGUGGGGAGCAAACAGGAUUAGAUACCCCUGUAGUC